rnacentral:rRNA from 1 species
GGGGGGGGGGGGGGGCGGGGGGGGCGGGUGCGAGGCGAGCGGGUGGGGGGGGCGGGCGGCGGGGUUCGGCGGCGGACGGGGGGGUGAGGCCUAGGAAUCUGCCUGGUGGUGGGGGAUAACGUCCGGAAACGGGCGCUAAUGCCGCAUACGUCCUGAUGGUGAAAGUGGGUGAUCUUCGUGCCUCGCGCUACCAGCUGAUCCUAGGUCGGCUUUGGUAGUUGGUGGGGUAAAGUCCUCCCAAGGCGACGCUCCGUCACCGGUCUGAAAGUAAGAGCAGUCACACUGGAACUGAGACACGGUCCAGACUCCUACGGGAGGCAGCAGUGGGGAAUAUUGAGCAAUGGGCGAAAGCAUGAUCCAGCCAUGCCGCGUGUGUGAAGCAGGUCUUCGGAUUGUAAAGCGCUUUAAGUUGGGAGGAAGGGCAGUAAGUUAAUACCUUGCUGUUUUGACGUUACAAACAGAAUAAGCACCGGCUAACUUCGUG